GACCCGUCUUGAAACACGGACCAAGGAGUCUAACAUGUGCGCGAGUCGUCGAGUGUAUAACGAAACUCGCGAGGCGCAAUGAAAGUGAAGCGGCCCCGAUAAGGGUGCAUCCGCGAGGGGUGAUCCCGUCUCGAAUAGAGCGGGCGCAACCCCAGGGCGUCCGAAGCCGCGAGGACUCACGUUCGAGUCGGCCGGACGAACCUAGAGCGCACACGUUGGGACCCGAAAGAUGGUGACCUAUGCCUGGCCAGGACGAAGCCAGGGGAAACCCUGGUGGAGGUCCGCAGCGAUUCUGACGUGCAAAUCGAUCGUCGGAGUUGGGUAUAGGGGCGAAAGACUAAUCGAACCAUCUAGUAGCUGGUUCCCCCCGAAGUUUCCCUCAGGAUAGCUGGUGCUCGCAAAGAGAACAAACGGAGUUUCAUCCGGUAAAGCGAAUGAUUAGAGGCCUUGGGGUCGAAACGACCUCAACCUAUUCUCAAACUUUCAAUGGGUGAGAAGCCCGGCCUACUUGUGUAAAUGAGGCCGCGGCAAUUUUAUUGUGAAUCUGAGCGCCCAGUGGGCCAUUUUUGGUAAGCAGAACUGGCGCUGUGGGAUGAACCAAACGCCCGGUUAAGGCGCCUAAACGACGCACAUUUCGGAUCCCACGAAAAGGAGUUGGUUGCUAAAGACAGCAGGACGGUGGCCAUGGAGGUCGGAAUCCGCUAAGGAGUGUGU
rnacentral:rRNA from 1 species